rnacentral:lncRNA from 1 species
AUGCUGAUUAAUUUCCAGAGGAAGAGAGUCCUGUUCUUUCCAGGGACAUUGUUCUUCAAGCUUGGUGUAAAGGCACUCCCUGAGGAAUCUUACCUGAAACUAGUGAAACCAUCAUCUGCCUGUGCCUUGGAAUACCCCUAGGGAGGUGCUGUGGUGAAGCAGAACCUGGGACGACCUGCCCUUUUGAAGGUGUUAGAGCUUUCAUAAGCUAAGUUUAAAGCUUGAUAGUAAGAAAGAAGAGUAUCUGUCUCCAAGCUGGAUCAUUAUUGUGGAUGAUCUCUGUUUGUGUACUCUGGCUCUAGAACUGUCAGGUAUAUCCCGUACUAACUGCCUUCCUUUGGUCCUUUUUCCCGGGCGCCUCAGUAGCUCCAGGAGGGAAGAAGCGGGGCCGGGUGUUUCGAUUCGGGAGGGACGGGUGAUGCUGGAGAGGACCGGAU